rnacentral:tRNA from 1 species
GCAGUGGUGCUUUAGUGGCAGAAUUCUCACCUUCCAUGUGGGAGACCCAGGUUUGAUCCUGGCCAAUUCA